rnacentral:lncRNA from 1 species
UUUCCAUUUAAUUUUAUUAUUAAGUUUCAGUGGUGAUGUGCAAGUUUCUCCAACUCAGAGUUUGGAAAGGCUGCAGAAGCACACGGACUACGAGCCUACGCAGACUUUGAGUGCAGUAUUUCCAUAAGGCACUCAGAAACUGGAGAGAAGAUCCAUGCACUCUGUGCCCCAGCCAACAAGCAGAGGACUGUCUGCAAGCCUCAUCCAGUCCUGUCACUUCACAUCCCAAGCAGCAGUGCCACGUCCUGAGGAAGUGAUUGACUCUGACAGAUCCUAUGAUGAACUCUCCAGGGCUCCAAUUAUGUUUUCCAACAUUUAGCAUCAUCUCUUUUUCCCUUCACUCCCCCUCCUUGGGGAGAACUUCAGUCUGAGCAGAAGCUCUGUGUGUGUGCAGAUGGGCCAAGAAGGGAUGGGUGUUCUAAUUUCUGCCACUUGUGCUGCAGCACUGGGGAUGGGACGGGAUGGGAUGGGAUGGGAUGGGACGGGACGGGACGGGACAGAAGGGGUCCUGAGAGCACCAAUGGGCCCUAAUGACCCCAAGCAGCCUCACCUGAGACCUCCACCCACAGCCUCUGCCCCAUUUAAGAGCAAUGCUGGUAAAGCAGAUGGUGCUCAUCUUUUAGCCCUAACUGAAGCUUUGCCUUGGUGUUUUCCCCUGUGUUCCUUGAUAGACCAAAGUGUGCUCUGGGUUUCUUGUUCCUCCUUUUGUUCUUGGGGCUUUUUAGCUGUCUGGGGACAAAAGAAUAAGAAAAGCCCUGUGUUGAAGACAGGAGCUUACAGUGGUACAGGUGCACUGGGAAAGUCCGUGGUACCAACCAGUGCUGGGAUGUAUGCAGGCAUUUGUCUCCUCAUCUUGCCAUUCUAGAUGAAGUGAACCUGCUGGACAAAAUGACUUCUCAAUUAAAGGACCUCAGCAAUGUUUCCUUCAGCUACGAUGAGGCCAACUGCAGCACUCUGCAGAUCGGGCAGUACUCCACCCUCAGCAUUCCUACACAGGAGGUGUUUGGGGACAGGUUUGCAGAUGAGCUGAGUGUGCUGAUGAAGCUCAGGUACUCACUGCAGGAGGACACCAGCCUGUUGACCAUCCUGAGCCAUCGGAGCCAUGUGCUCUUCCAGAUCCGGGUUAGCCCAUAUGGUUUGGUCUUUGUCACCACGAGGAGGAGGCACUAUGAGUUCCCUGUGUCCCUGCUCAGUGAUGGGCGCUGGCACCGAGUUGCACUCAGCAUCUCCCAGGAGAGCCUGGAGCUGCACGUGGACUGUCGGCUGGUGGAGAGAGCCAGCUGGCCUGGCUACCUGGGGAUGGGUGUGGGCACCGAGGGGCUGCUCAUCAUCGGAGGUCUGGUGGAGUCCUUUGAGAUCCCCUUUGAGGGAGCUCUGCAGCAGCUGACCUUUGUGAUGGGGGAUGCAGCAGCAGCUGGCGAGCAUUGCCACAGCCACACCGUGACAUGUGUGCACUCCUCUGGCCUCAGUCCUCCUCCGAGGGACCACUCUGCAGCAUGGGCAGAGGAUUCCAAGCUCUCCCAUCCAGAUUUGACUUUGGGCCCACCUUGGACAUGGGAGGAUGCCCAGGAGACCCUUAGCCUGCAGCCAGAUGGGAGCAUCCGGACUUUGUUCUCCGCUGCUGAAGUGCCAACAGCUGAAGAGCUGGAGGAGGAAGAGGGAAGCCUUUCCAUUGAGGAUGAAGGCUUUGAGCUGUUGAACUCCACCUAUAAUAAAAUCCCUGGCAGGCCAGGGAUCAGCAGGAGCAGACCACAGAUCAUUGGCAUCCCCAGAUCAUCAGCCAAGAAGGAGCAAGCCUCUGACUCUGGGCAGGAGAACAUCACCAAAGAGAAGCUGAAGGGCAACGCAGACACCCACCUUCUCCUCCCACCCAUCAAGCCUGGCCAUGCCACCAACCCCAUUGCCUCCUCCAAAGUGUUCCCAUCGAGACAACACACAGCUGCACCCGAGGGUUCCUCAGGGAUGGCUGCAGGGGAUCCAGAGCAUCCUCCCACCCCCCUGGGGCACCCCAUCUUGCCAUCAGUGCGCGGAUAUCGGGCUCGUGUGAAGCCAGGACCCCCAGGGCUGCCAGGACCCCCAGGGCUGCCGGUGAGUGGUGGGGGACAAUGGGGAUGGGUGGGUAGGUGGUGUAGGCUGGUUGCAUUUCCAUGGCAGACAGAGAGGAGAAACCCUCACAAUAUUGUCAGCCUGUGGUCCCAUUAUUUGCUUCCCCACCGCUGUAAUACCUAAAAACUUCAUUCAAAGAAACUUAGGAUUUUCCUUUUGGAAACAUGACUCUGCCUUCCUGCUGGGUUGGCGGUAUGACGCGUGUCAGGCCCAUAGCACACCCUUGUG